AGAACAGCUUGUGAGAUGUAACAUGUAGGUGCUUAUCUUAUCUGUCAGACAAAUACUUCCUGUUUGCCAAUAUUUGUACAUGUAUUUCAAUAAUGUGAAUUAAUUAAUUUUUUGUGGUUAUCAAUUUUCCUUGAUUUAGGUGAAGACAACUUGCAUGUUCCUUAAUAUUUUAUAUCAUGGUUUUAACAAAAUCUGCAUACAUUCCUUUAGAAAAUAUAUAUUUUGUUGAACAUUGAAAUUUGUGGUUCUCCUGUACCCACGAAACUUACAAAAAUUUGUAUCCUAACAAAUAUUAAUGAGUCCACAGUUUAUUGGAAAAACUUAAUAUUUGUCAUGAGUAUCCAGUCCAGCACUAUUCAAUAGAAUGACCUUCAUAUUAUAUCAUUUAAAGACUAUAUGAUUUAGUUUAAACAUGCUUUAUUUGCUUAAAUAUUAUUAUUCUUAUUCUUAAAUAUGCGACACACAUUAAUCAAACUUGUACAGUCUUCUCCCAUGAUGAUGAACAAGUUAUAACAACAGAAUAUUAACAAAGCAAGAGCAACAACACUCCACCAGAGACCUUAAAUGAAAAUAAAAACAAGACAAUUUGUAUGAUAGUUAUCUCCCAUUUAUUUUUGUCUAGCCUGCAACUUUUGUUGCAGAAAGCUCGACAUAGGGAUAGUGAUCCGGCGGCGGUGUUAGCUCACUUCUUAAAAGCUUUAUAUUUUAGAAGGUGGAAGACCUUGAUGCUUCAUACUUUGUAUAUAGAUGCUUCAUGUUACGAAGUUUCUGUCAGUCACAUGUCCAAUGUCCUUGACCUCAUUUUCAUGGUUCAGUGACCACUUGAAAAAAAAGUUCAAAUUUUUUGUAAUGUUGAAUUCUCUCUUAUUAGAAGUAAUAGGAUAACUUUAUUUGAUAUGUGCGUACCUUGCAAGGUCAUCAUGUCUGUCAGACAGUUUUAUCUUGACCUCGACCUCAUUUCAUGGAUCAGUGAUCAAGGUUAAGUUUUGGUGGUCAAGUCCAUAUCUCAGAUACUAUAAGCAAUAGGGCUAGUAUAUUCGGUGUAUGAAAGGACUGUAAGGUGUACAUGUCCAACUGACAGGUGUCAUCUGACCUUGACCUCAUUUUCAUGGUUCAGUGCUUAUAGUUAAAUUUUUGUGUUUUGGUCUGUUUUUAUACGACCGCAAAAUUUGAAAAAUUUUUCGUCGUAUAUUGCUAUCACGUUGGCGUCGUCGUCGUCGUCGUCGUCGUCGUCGUCGUCCGAAUACUUUUAGUUUUCAUACUCUAACUUUAGUAAAAGUGAAAAGAAAUCUAUGAAAUUUUAACACAAGGUUUAUGACCACAAAAGGAAGGUUGGUAUUGAUUUUGGGAGUUUUGGUCCCAACAUUUUAGGAAUUAGGGGCCAAAAAGGGCCCAAAUAAGCAUUUUCUUGGUUUUCGCACUAUAACUUUAGUUUAUGUUAAUAGAAAUCUAUGAAAUUUUGACACAAGGUUUAUGACCACAAAAGAAAGGUUGGGAUUGAUUUUGGGAGUUUUGGUUUCAACAGUUUAGGAAUUAAGGGCCAAAAAAGGGCCCAAAUAAGCAUUAUUCUUGGUUUUCGCACAAUAACUUUAGUUUAAGUAAAAAGAAAUCAAUGAAAUUUAAACACAAUGUUAAUGUCCACAAAAGGAAGGUUGGUAUUGAUUUUGGGAGUUUAGGUCCCAACAGUUUAGGAAGUAGGGGCCAAAAAGGGACCCAAAUAAGCAAUUUUCUUGGUUUUCGCACCAUAACGUUAGUAUAAGUAAAUAGAAAUCUAUGAAAUUUAAACACAAGGUUUAUGACCAUAAAAGGAAGGUUGGUAUUGAUUUUGGGAGUUUUGGUCCAAACAGUUUAGGAAUAAGGGGCCAAAGGGUCCAAAAUUAAACUUUGUUUGAUUUCAUCAAAAUUGAAUAAUCGGGGUUCUUUGAUAUGCCGAAUCUAACUGUGUAUGUAGAUUCUUAACUUUUGGUCCCGUUUUCUUAUUCGUCUACAUUAAGGUCCAAAGGGUCCAAAAUUAAACUUAGUUUGAUUUUGACAAAAAAUGAAUUGGUUGGGUUCUUUGAUAUGCUGAAUCUAAAAAUGUACUUAGAUUCUUGAUUAUUGCCCAGUUUUCAAGUUGGUCCAAAUCGGGGUCCAAAAUUAAACUUUGUUUGAUUUCAUCAAAAAUUGAAUAAAUGGGGUUCUUUGAUAUGCCAAAUCUAACUGUGUAUGUAGAUUCUUCAUUUUUGGUCCUGUUUUCAAAUUGGUCUACAUUAAAGUCCAAAGGGUCCAAAAUUAAACUUAGUUUGAUUUUAACAAAAAUUGAAAUCUUGGGGUUCUUUGAUAUGCUGAAUCCAAACAUGUACUUAGAUUUUUGAUUAUGGACCCAUUUUUUAAGUUGGUCCAAAUCAGGAUCUAAAAUUAUUAUAUUAAGUAUUGUGCAAUAGCAAGUCUUUUCAAUUGCAAAGUAUUGCACAAUGGCAAGAAAUAUCUAAUUGCACAAUAUUGUGAAAUAGCAAUAUUCUUUUUUAAUUAGAGUUAUCUUUCUUUGUCCAGAAUAGUAAGCAAGAAAUAUCUAAUUGCAAAAUAUUGUGCAAUAGCAAGAUUUUUUUUUAAUAUGAGUUAUCUUUCUUUGUCCAGAAUCAACUUAAAUCUUUGUUAUAUACAAUAUACAAUGUAUGUUCACUUUUUACUACCAACUGAUAAAUUAAAAUAAUCUUUACCAUUCAGUGAUAACAAGCAUUUUUUUUACAUUUUAAUAUUUUAUGAUGUAUUUAAAUGAGUAGUUAUUGUUGCAAACUCCAUUAGAAAUUUUAAUUGAGAUUAGUUUUGGAAUAAGGGAAAGGGGGAUGUGAUUAAAAAAAUUGGGUUCAAUUUUUCUCAUUUGAAAUUUCAUAAAUAAAAAGAAAAUUUCUUCAAACAUUUUUUUUUGAGAGGAUUAAUAUUCAACAGCAUAGUGAAUUGCUCUAAGAGAAAACAAAAUUUUUAAGUUCAUUAGAACACAAACAUUCUGUGUCAGAAACCUAUGCUGUGUCAACUAUUUAAUCACAAUCCAAAUUUAGAGCUGAAUCCAGCUUGAAUGUUGUGUCCAUACUUGCCCCAACCGUUCAGGGUUCAACCUCUGCGGUCGUAUAAAGCUACGCCCUGCGGAGCAUCUGGUUCUCAUACUAUAUGCAUUAGGUCUACUAUAUUUGUUGUAUGGAAUGAUUGUAAGGUGUACAUGUCUAGCAGUCAGAUGUCAUGUGACCUUGACCUCAUUUUCAUGGUUCAGUGGUCAAAGGAAAGUUUUUGAGUUUUGGUCUUUUUAUCUAAUACUAUAUGCCAUAGCUCAACUAUAUUUGGUGUAUGGAAAUAUUUUAUGAUCUGUAUGUCAGUCGCCCAGGUUUUAUUUGACGGUGACUCCAUUUUCACGGUUCAUUGCACAGUGUUAAGUUUUUGUAUUUUGGUCUAUUUUUCUUAAACUAUAAGUAAUGGGUCAACUAUAUAUGUUGUAUAGAAGCAUUGUUAGCUGUUAGCUGUCUGCCUGGCAUGGUUCAUCUGACCUUGACCUCAUUUUCAAGGUUCAUUGGUCUUUGUUUAGUUAUCUUGGUUAAUGUUAAGUUUAUGUGACAGUUGUAAUAAAACUUAGCUUUAUACUUAGGACUAUCAACAUAAUAUCAAUGAUUAGUAUAGAAGGUGAGACAUUUCAGCAUGUGCACUCUUGUAUAAAUUUUGAACUAAAAAAAUGAGAUGAGAGACAACUCUUUUGUUAGAAGAUAACUUACUAAUAUCAAAAAUACAAAUUAGGAUUACAUUAUCCAUUGUAAUUUUGUGCUUAAAAAACUGGUCAGUAAUAGGUAUUUUAUACAUCAGGUUAUAUGAAAAAGACCAACAGAUUAUGUUAAAUACUGGUAUAAACAUUUUUUUUUUAAAUUUAAUAGUAUAAUUCCAAAAUUUCAAACUAUUUGAAGACUCUUUACAGACACCAUUGGUAUCUAUUUUAAGUUUUUUUCCUGUGAAAUAUUGUGAUAUUGUCAAUAUCCUCAAGAAUAUAGAUAGUUAUCAUUCACCAAAUGUAUAGGAUAAAUUUGCUCAUUGGGCAAAUAGAGUUGUCUCCCAUCUCACAAUAUUUUUUCCUCAAAAAUUGUAAAAUGGGAGAUAACCUAUGUGCAAAUCGUCUCGGGUUUUUACAUUCAAGGAAUGUAAAAACCAGAACUCUGAAAAUUCGCGGGGUUUUAUGGAGACAGAGCCAGAAGCCACACACAGAAAGAGUAAAAUGAAGACAGUAUAAAUAGUAAGUUUAUUUACAUUGUAUUGAUUGCUAUGGACAAUAGGUAUGUACACAACAAUAGGUAAUUCAAACAAUGUUACUUACUGGACAGUAUUUAAAUGUGUUAGCUUAUUUCAUCAUCUUCUGCAUUGAUGAAACAAGCCCAUCAUAAUCCAAUAUAUAUAUAAUAUUAGAUUUUAUCUUUCUGAAAAACCAAUUGGAUUUUACUUUUAGAUAUCUAACUGAUGCUACCCAUUAAAAUAUUCAAAGUGCACUUUCCACCUAAUAUAAAAAAGAAGAUGUGGUAUGAUUGCAAAUAAGACAACUCUCCACAACAGACCAAAUGACACAGUAACUAACAACUAUCGGUCACUGUAAGGUCUUUAAAAGUUCUUCAGAGCUUGUGUUUGUGCUUGCCUUGCUUAUACCGACUCUAAAUAAAGCUUUAUGUCUUAUUAUGGCCUUCAAUAAUGAACAAUGCCCAUAGUCAGCUAUAGAAGGCCCUGAAAUGACAUUAGUUUAAAUAAAGUGGUUGUAAGCAAUACACCUUAACGAAACUUGUCUGUCAUUACUGGUUUUCACACAUGUUCCUGUACAAUGUUGCCAUAAUAAUACAAAAUAUCUCAAGCCACAAUGGAAAAGUGACUGUUGUAUGACGUCAUUAGUUCAAGCGGGACAGAUUCUUGGGUCAGUCAGGAAUAACUAUUAUGGUGUAUUAUAGGGAACUUCAGAAAACUUAUCAGCCUUGAAUUUUAAUUCAUAUAACAAAACAAUUUAAAGAAAAUAUAUGAAAGUCAGGAACCAAUGACAACCACUAAACUAUAGGGUCCUGAUUUGGAAUUGGCACUAAGAGAAUGUGGCAGGAUUAAAUAUAUUUUUGAGCACUUAACCUUUUGCUAACCUGGGACAGACUUGAGAAAUUUAAAUCCUGACAUCCCGAAAUUCAAAAAAAAAUUUCCCAGAUCCUGAAAGGACUUAUCCCAAAAUCCUGAGCUUAUAAACACCCGAUCCUAGAAUCCUGAUAAAGGUCACCCCUCAGUGGUGUAACAGCACAACUUUAAAAAAAUUAACAUGCUUAAAAUUAUUAAAAAUACUGCUGAGAGUUGAGGAAGAGAAAACUUAUAUACUAUUAUCUGGGCGAAAUUUUUUGUAUAAAUAGUCUAAUCCUCUUAUCGUUAAAUUCUAAAAAAAAAAAUCAAUGAUAUUUUUUUUUUUUAUUUAUAUAAUAGUUUUAUGACCUCAAAAGUUUUUUUCCUAAUUCACCUAAUAUUCUGAUUGGCCAAUAUUUUUAAGGUGUAAGUAGUCACUUAUAGAGUGACAAUAGUACUAAUAUCUAAUUAUUAUAGACUAAAUUUGGUAUUUUUCAUCCUCUUAAACUUUUAAUUUGGACAAGUAUACUGCAGCUUAUACUUGCCCAUGAUGAAUUUUACUUAUCACGGGCAAUUGUUGAACCCUGUGUAACCUCAUUUGGUCUCUGGUGGUCAGUUGUCUUUAUUUAUAAGUUGUAUUCAUAUUUAAUCUUAUUUGUAUAUUGGCUUUAACAGUGAAAACUUUCUUUUUUAAAAUUCUUUUCAAUUAUACAAGUCUUUCACUGGACUACAUCAAAUGAAAAUAACAGUUUAUAAUGCCCAAAACCAAAUGUAACCAUACUUUACUUGGGUAUCCAGGUUAAAAUGAAAAUUUUACAAAAAUAUGCUAAGUCAGCAAUUAUGAUAAUUUGUGCCUCUUGUUAAAAUGCCUUUAGGGAUUGUUCAUCAAAUAUAUUUUAUGCUAUUUCAGCAAUAAUCAUACAAAAUAAUCAGUGUCUUGUUAUAAAGCAUCCACAAAUAUCUCAGUCUUCACGCUGAGUGGCAGCCCUGGCAGCCCAGGCAUGUAAAAUUGCUCUCGGGCCUGUAAAAAUCAUAUCUACAGGCCAACAGAAUCUAACUAAAAAAUUUCAAAAAUUGAGCUCCAGGCCUGUAGAUUUUUAAAACAGUUCAUCGUGAAGACUGAUAUCUUAACUUCAUACUAAUGGUCCAAAAUCACUGAACCAUUAAGUUUAAACAUUUAUCUACUCACUUCUGAUACAUUUUAACUGAUAACAAAUGGAAGUGGGAAAGGCUUAUGAUUUUAAUGAUCAGUAUUUUAAGUGAAAUCUUUUGACAUGAAUUUCACCAUUUAAUUUGUAAUAUAAAGGAUUAAAGGUAAACAGAUGAAUAUGUGAUUUAUGACACAUUUAUAUCUACGAGGUCUAUCAAUUGUUAACCUGAAUACUAAAUACAUGUUAAAAAUUCUUUUUAGAUCGAAGGUUUAUGUGACUUAAUGGUAGAAUAGGGACAGGUACAGAUACUCAAUUUCUCUGCUUGAUAUCAAGGUAAGAAGUAUACGCUGCAGGUAAGGGUGAAGGUUAGUACCUAUUAAAAUGUUAAAACCCACUGCAAUUGUUUGCACCUGUCCUGAGUCUGGAAUCUGAUGUUCGGUGGUUGUCGUUUGUUUAUGUGGUUCAUAAGAGUUUCUCAUUUCUCGUUUAUUUAUAGAUUAGACCGUUGGUUGUCCUGUUUGAAUGGUUUUGCACUGGCUAUUUUUGUGGCCCUUUAUAGCUUGCUGUUUGGUGUGAGCCAAAGCUUAGUGUUGAAGGCAGUACAUUGACCUAUAAUGGUUUACUUUUACAAAUUGUGACUUGGAUGGAGAAUUGUCUCAUUGGCAUUUGUACCACAUCUUCCAAUAUCUAAUUACAGUAUACAAGUAUGAAUGUGUGCAUUACCAGUGUCUGAGAUACUGCCGAAAAUUUGUCAAGCAUCCAGAGGUCCCAAAGUUUUAUUUACCUCAAUGGUCUGUUGGUCCAGUAAUUGUUAAAAGAUGACUGGUCCAGUCAGUGUUUUACACAUCUUUUACAUUAUGACAGUAUGAAAAUACAAAAGUCUAAUCCAUCUACACUCUUCAUUUGUUCCAGUAAUUGAUGAAAUUUUACUAGAUCAAACAAUUUUUACUGGACAUUGCCACAUGUUUGCCAGACCUUGGGAAUCACUGAGGCCACAAUUAAAAAUAUUUUGGUUUGCCCAAACCCUACCCAAGGUUGAGACAGUGGGUAGGUAGGUAGGCAUUUUUUUGUCGAGCCUGCAACUUUUGUUGCAGAAAGCUCGACAUAGGGAUAGUGAUCCGGCGGCGGCGGCGGCGGUGUUAGCUCACUUCUUAAAAACUAUAUAUUUUAGAAGGUGGAAGACCUGGAUGCUUCAUAUUUUGUAUAUAGAUGCCUCAUGUUACGAAGUUUCCGUCAGUCACAUGUCCAUUGUCCUUGACCUCAUUUUCAUGGUUCAGUGACCACUUGAAAAAAAAGUUCAGAUUUUUUGCAAUGUUAAAUUUUCUCUUACUGUAAGUAAUAAGAUAACUAUAUUUAGUAUGUGCGUACCUUACAAGGUCCUCAUGCCCGUCAGACAGUUUUCACUUGACCUCAACCUCAUUUCAUGGAUCAGUGAACAAGGUUAAGUUUUGGUGGUCAAGUCCAUAUCUAAGAUACUAUAAGCAAUAGGUCUAGUAUAUUCGGUGUAUGGAAGGACUGUAAGGUGUACAUGUUCAACUGGCAGGUGUCACCUGACCUUGACCUCAUUUUCAUGGUUCAGUGGUUAAAGUUAAGUUUUUGUGUUUUGGUCUGUUUUUCUCAUACUGUAUGCAAUAGGUCUACUAUAUUUGUUGUAUGGAAUGAUUGUAAGGUGUACAUGUCUAGCGGGCAGAUGUCAUCUGACCUUGACCUCAUUUUCAUGGUUCAGUGGUUAAAGUUAAGUUUUUGUGUUUUGGUCUGUUUUUCUCAUACUUUAUGCAAUAGGUCUACUAUAUUUGUUGUAUGGAAUGAUUGUAAGGUGUACAUGUCUAGCGGGCAGAUGUCAUCUGACCUUGACCUCAUUUUCAUGGUUCAGUGGUCAAAGUUAAGUUUUUGAGUUUUGGUAUUUUUAUCUAAUACAUGUACUAUAUGUCAUAGGUCAACUAUAUUUUGUGUAUGGAAAUAUUUUAUGAUCUAUAUGUCAGUCGUGCAGGUUUUAUUUGACCUUGACCUGGUUUUCAAGGUUCAUUGCUCAGUGUUAAGUUUUUUGUGUUUUGGUCUAUUUUCUUAAACUAUAAGCAAUAGGUCAACUAUAUUUGUUGUAUGGAAGCAUUGUUAGCUGUACAUGUCUGCCUGGCAUAUGGUUCAACUGACCUUGACCUCAUUUUCAUGGUUCAUGUUAAGUCUAUGUGACAGUCGUAAUAAAGCUUUAGAUUUAGGAGUAUCAACAUAAUAUCAAUGAUUAGUAAAGAAGGCGAGACAUUUCUGUGUGUGCACUCUUGUUUUUAAUUUUUAAGAAAUUUACGUAUCGGGUGUUUAUUAGUCUUCAUGCCUAUUUGAUUAAAAAAAAACUUCUUCAAAUCAGGACAAUAAAAGAAUUUGAGUAGGCAGCUUUUUUCUGGGUUACUGUAAGGUAGGGUUUGGGCAAACAAACCUAUUCUUUUUUAUGGCCUGAGCGUCAAUUUUUUUUAUUCACCAAAUCAUAAAGAUUUAUUCUUAUUAUCAAUAGAUAUAAAAAGAUGUGGUAUGAGUGCUAAUGAGACCAUCCAAAUCAAAAUACUGAUCAUUGAUGAUAAAUACAAUAAUCUUGGUGUAUCAUUUGGUAAAAAUAACUAGCUUACUAGACUAAACAAAAUAUGUAUCAUGAUUAAAGAGUCUACCAGUCCCUAUGGCAUACAUGUAUGAUUUUCGGUUUGUGGUCUUCCAUCAGGUGCUUAUAGCUAAUGGAUAUAUGCAUGACUUUAUGUUUGGGGCCUUCCAUUAGGGGUUUCCAUGUUUGCUUACCUGCUGCUAAUGAGACUUGAGAUAUCAAUGAAAUUGUAAUAUUUUCCAGGUAGAUGUUUUGAUGAUUUUUUAAAAUACUAAAAAGUGAUAUUUGAUGAGGCUGUAAAUUGAUAUAUACUUAAACUUACUUUUAGAUUUAGACUUUUAUGAUAAACUUUUUUUUAUGAAAUUUAAAUUAAUGCAUAUAUCUUUGAUGGAUAGUUGUCUCAUUAGUAACCAUACUACUACAUUAUUUAUCUAUGUUUUCCAGCAAACAUAGAUUGAGGAUUUACUAAGUUUUUGUUGAUGUCAACUACAUAGAAAAUAACUUAAACUAGUUACAAAAAAUGUGCCAAUUGUACAAGUAGAAAUAGCAUGGUCAUUUCUAACUUUUAUACAAUAGGCUAUUUAUUCAUGACUACACACACUUUUACAUGUACGGAAGUCUAUUGUUUAUAAUUUAUUGGUGUAGGUGUAAAUGCAUGUUAUUUAAAUCAUUAAAAACACACCAUGUCACAGAUAAUAUAUAAUGAUGUAAUACUUGAACAAGCUUUAAGGUGACAAAUUACGUGUAUUGCACAAAAUAAAAAAAUAAAUCUUGUGUGUUCAUUUUACAGAAAUCUUGUCAAGAAGUUGUGAUUGAUGGAUUUAAACUGAAAAAUUGUUCGUGCAUUGCGGUUGACGCUUUCCAUUGUGCAGGAAGAAAAGGAACAAAGUUUU
rnacentral:lncRNA from 1 species